GGUGGCGAUAGCGAAGAGGUCACACCCGUUCCCAUGCCGAACACGGAAGUUAAGCUCUUCAGCGCCGAUGGUAGUUGGGGGAUUCCCCCUGUGAGAGUAGGACGCCGCCAAGC
rnacentral:rRNA from 2 species